AUUUUUCAAAAGGCAGAGACUGGGAUUCUAUGGUACAGUGAGUUGAAUACUGGUGGUCAAAAAUCUGUCUCAUCCAGCACCAUGGCAUAAGAUGGGUUUAUGGGAUAAAGGUCUUUGCAGGUAUCUUUGUGGUAUAGAUGUUGAGAACACAGCCUCACAGGUACUCAUGAGCGUUGAACUGAUCUAGUGGAGUAUCUUCACAAGAACUAAAAGGAAAUGACAGAGGAAAGGUCAUAAAAGAGAAGGAUCUGUGAAGCUGGUGGAGACCCAGAAUGUAGUCAUGAUGUCAUAAAAGCAAAGAACACUGGAUGCCAACUGAAGCCAGAAGAGGAUUUUCUUGGAAGUUGACAAAGUAGACUUGACUAUAGAAGUAGCAUUACAAAAUCUGCACCUCCAGAACCAGGGACAAAGGAAAUUAUUUUGUUGUUAAGAUGACUACAAUGUCUAAGAAAACAAGCUUGAUGGAAUAGUUUCAGCUGCAUUUAAAGUAUAUUUAUGACAGGAAGACAGUGUUCAAAAUGUUUUGCUUAUUGAAAAAAAGCAACAUGCAGAAAUACAGGAGUUUUCAAAGAGAGAAAAAUCAUGGACUUAGCCUUGAAUGGAGUAGCUCAAGUUCAUAUUUGCAGAACAACAUCAGUUACAUGAGUGCUGGCAUAGGAGCCCAGACCUGUGUGUUUAAUGACUGAAAGGCCACUUCUUCAAGACCCUGACAGACAUCAAGCUUACACCGUGCAGUCUUCAGUUUC
rnacentral:lncRNA from 1 species